GGAGGGUUGCCAGAGUGGUUAAUGGAGCAGUUUGCUAAACUGUCGACGCUGAAAGUGUCGCAAGGGUUCGAAUCCCUUACCCUCCG
rnacentral:tRNA from 1 species